rnacentral:rRNA from 1 species
GGCGGACGGGUGAGUAACGCGUGGGUAACCUGCCUCAUACAGGGGGAUAACAGUUAGAAAUGACUGCUAAUACCGCAUAAGACCACAGCACCGCAUGGUGCAGGGGUAAAAACUCCGGUGGUAUGAGAUGGACCCGCGUCUGAUUAGGUAGUUGGUGGGGUAACGGCCUACCAAGCCAACGAUCAGUAGCCGACCUGAGAGGGUGACCGGCCACAUUGGGACUGAGACACGGCCCAAACUCCUACGGGAGGCAGCAGUGGGGAAUAUUGCACAAUGGGGGAAACCCUGAUGCAGCGACGCCGCGUGAGCGAUGAAGUAUUUCGGUAUGUAAAGCCCUAUCAGCAGGGAAGAAAAUGACGGUACCUGACUAAGAAGCACCGGCUAAAUACGUGCCAGCAGCCGCGGUAAUACGUAUGGUGCAAGCGUUAUCCGGAUUUACUGGGUGUAAAGGGAGCGUAGACGGAGUGGCAAGUCUGAUGUGAAAACCCGGGGCUCAACCCCGGGACUGCAUUGGAAACUGUCAAUCUAGAGUACCGGAGAGGUAAGCGGAAUUCCUAGUGUAGCGGUGAAAUGCGUAGAUAUUAGGAGGAACACCAGUGGCGAAGGCGGCUUACUGGACGGUAACUGACGUUGAGGCUCGAAAGCGUGGGGAGCAAACAGGAUUAGAUACCCUGGUAGUCCACGCCGUAAACGAUGACUACUAGGUGUCGGGCAGCAAAGCUGUUCGGUGCCGCAGCAAACGCAAUAAGUAGUCCACCUGGGGAGUACGUUCGCAAGAAUGAAACUCA